AUAACUUAAAGUUAUAACUCCAGUAGAGGUGAGCUUCCUUAAAAUUUUAUAUCGAAGCUCGAUGUGUCUAGACGACUUUGAAUUGUGAUGUUUACUUUUCACUUUUGCUAUAGUCGCCUGAUUAUCACAGUUAAUUAGAAUAGCAGGAAUAGGCUUAUCCAUCAUGGGAAUAUCUGAUAACAGACCCUUAAGCCAAUCUACUUCUCCACCAGCUAACUCUAAGG
rnacentral:lncRNA from 1 species